UACAGAGGGUGCAAGUGUUAAUCGGAAUUACUGGGCGUAAGCGCGCGUAGGUGGUUUGUUAAGUUGGAUGAUGAAAUCCCCGGGGCUCAACCUGGGAACUGCAUCCAAACUGGCAAGCUAGAGUAUGGUAGAGGUGGUGGAAUUUCCUGUGUAAGCGGUGAAAUGCGUAGAUAUAGGAAGGAACACCAGUGGCGAAGGCG
rnacentral:rRNA from 1 species